rnacentral:lncRNA from 1 species
GAGUCUAAAAAUUCUUCCACUAUCUUAUACGAAUUGGUAGCCUCUACCUCCAACUUGAGGAAUUACUUUAAUUUCUUAGUGGGUACUAGAAUCCACACAGACUGCACACAAGUCUGACUUUGGCCGGCUUAUCCAUGUGCAUCUAAGGGUAGGUUCAUUAACCAAUUAUUUCACCAAAUAAUUUUUAAUAAUUAAUUUAGCCCC